AAAUUUAAUUCAAAGGCCGGAUUCCGAAUCCAAGGCCUUAAGCCAGGGUGCCUGGGUGGGCUCACGCACACCCCCGAAAUAUUCCGUUGCCCCUUUCAGUGGCAAGAUAUGUGUUCGGUGGAGUGGGCUUUGCGGGACUUUGCAGUUGCUCCUGCCAGUGGGAGCUCUGGGGUCUUUUCAGGCCGGUGCUCUUGAACAGACAGGCUCUGUUCUGCCGUCAUCCUUUUACUGGUUGAUUGAGACCCUUUCUGAUGGUAAAUUCAUCGCAACUCAACAUGGGUUUUCUUCUUACGAGUCAACUAGGCUUUUUGACGCACAGGAAGUUGACCCAGGCUUCCCUCAUGCUCGUCUCUUGCAUGUUUGCGGCUUUGCAGUGGGGUCUGGACCUCUGGACUGUGAGCAGGAUGGUGCAUGCCUGGUCAGACCCGGUGGGGUAGGGGUGAGCGUGCAGCCCCCUCCAUCACUCUGUCACUUGUCAUCUGUGCUUUGGCCCCAUUGGUCUGCUUUUACAUUCCCGGCUCGUUCAACAGUGAUAAUCACCAGGGCAACCAUCAAACACACCCUUUCUCUGGAGAGAAGAUUCAUGGGAUACUUGGGUGCUCUGGGGAACUGUGGGAUGCUCCCGUUUGGGUAAAUGAUCAAAAAUCACCACCAAAAGACGUCGACUGCGUGCAGGCUAGCACUCUUCCUGCUAUCUCCUCUCUGUGACCCAUUUAGAUGGUUCUCUGGAAGAAAGGAAUGGCAAAGGACUUGGGACUGUUUUCCCUCCACGACCCUCAGAACCUCCAUCCUGCUGAGCUGCAGCAGGCCUCGGCCCCCCGACUGUCAUUUCCGGAGGAGGCAGUGUCAAUGUCCUGAGCAUGGGGAGAGAUGCUGGUUCGGAACCUUCAGAAUUGCCGACGCAGCUGUUGGAGGGGUGGAUGGGACGCUCGCUCUGAUGCUUGCUCUCUUGCAGGCCCACUUCGUGUCACGUGCAUUGGACAGCUAAUGGCCCUCUAGCUCUCUAAGACCCUACAAAAGUGCACCAAAAUUCUACUGAGUCAAGGAAAUGCCAGAUCAAAGGGACCGAGCUGCAGGGCAGACUUUUCCUCCCACCGGACUUGCAGCCAGAUGCGGGGGACACCGGGCAGAGUGGCCUCACUCCGUGGCAUGUUCCAGAUGUGGAGCUUGGGGGAGUUUCUUUCAGAUGCUUGUCUGAGGUUCGGGUGAGACCCCUCCCUGCACCAAGGGACUCAGCCCUGGCAACCGAAAACCUCCAGAACCCAACCGCUGCCCUGCUCACAGCUGUGCUCCACAUGCUCAGACUAAGCCUCACCCAGGAUCGAACUGUUCCCUGGACUGCGGCGUGAUACUUCUUGGGACACACCCGACCCAUAUUCCAAGAGUACAGCACCACAUUUGAUGGGAUUCAAAGUCGGAGGCAAUCAACCUUAGAGGGAAAUAUUAUAUUAUUUCAGUUCUGCUUUGGGGCAAGAAUUGGGGUUCGGGAUGGAAACACCUGAAAUAUGGUGGUGGGGAGGUGUAAUGGUGAUGGGAUUGGUGUUUGAAUAUUAA